rnacentral:rRNA from 1 species
UACGUAGGGUGCGAGCGUUGUCCGGAAUUAUUGGGCGUAAAGGGCUCGUAGGCGGUUUGUCGCGUCGGGAGUGAAAACACCGGGCUUAACUCGGUGCUUGCUUUCGAUACGGGCAGACUAGAGGCAUGCAGGGGAGAACGGAAUUCCUGGUGUAGCGGUGAAAUGCGUAGAUAUCUGGAGGAACACCGGUGGCGAAGGCGGCAUUCUGGACCGACAUUGACGCUGAGGAGCGAAAGCCAGGGGAGCAAACGGG